rnacentral:rRNA from 1 species
CCUACGGGAGGCAGCAGUAGGGAAUUUUCGUCAAUGGGCGCAAGCCUGAACGAGCGAUGCCGCGUGAGUGAAGAAGGCCUUCGGGUCGUAAAGCUCUGUUUCGGGGGAAAAAAGGCAGCAUCAGGAAAUGGGUGCUGACUGAUGGUGCCCCGCCAGAAAGUCACGGCUAACUACGUGCCAGCAGCCGCGGUAAUACGUAGGUGGCGAGCGUUAUCCGGAAGGAUUGGGCGUAAAGGGUGCGCAGGCGGGUCUGCAAGUCUGGAGUGAAACGCAUGGGCUAAACUGAUGCAUGGCUUUGGAGACUGGAGGACUGGAGGGCAGGAGAGGGAGGUGGAACUCGAUGUGUAGCGGUGAAAUGCGUAGAUAUAUGGAAGAACACCGGUGGCGAAGGCGGCCGACUGGCCUGUUGCUGACGCUGAGGCACGAAAGCGUGGGGAGCAAAUAGGAUUAGAUACCCCAGUAGUC